UACAGAGGGGGCAAGCGUUGUUCGGAAUUACUGGGCGUAAAGGGCGCAUAGGCGGCCGCCUAAGUCAGACGUGAAAUCCCUCGGCUUAACCGGGGAACUGCGUCUGAUACUGGAUGGCUUGAGUUCGGGAGAGGGAUGCGGAAUUCCAGGUGUAGCGGUGAAAUGCGUAGAUAUCUGGAGGAACACCGGUGGCGAAGGCGGCAUCCUGGACCGACACUGACACUGAGGAGCGAAAGCCAGGGGAGCAAACGGG
rnacentral:rRNA from 1 species